UUUCCGUAGGUGAACCUGCGGAAGGAUCAUUAUUGUAUAUCCAAGUUGCGAGCCCUGUCGCUACCCCGCAAGGUCGUUCACUCCCGAGUGCCCUCACACCCCUCCAUCUCACCCCUCUCUGCCCCCCCGCGUGGGUCCCCCUUUCCCUUGUUCUGUGUGGUGCUUUCGUUUUCACACCAACUUUCUAUACAGUGUAAAAUUUAUUUCUUGUUUUUUCUAUCCCCCCAUCAAUACGACUUACAACAACGGAUCUAUUAGCUCUCGCAUCGAUUACGAACC
rnacentral:misc_RNA from 1 species